GUUGGAAUAGCCACAGGUACUGCUGGUGUAGUCUCUGGAAAAACUCUGGAGCCUAGCAUUUACAACACAGAGGUCACAACUUUCACGGGAGGAAACAGGACCACGCAAGCAGAACUUCCAG